rnacentral:lncRNA from 1 species
UAAGGAGCCAAGAAUUGUUAUUUGCAUGUUUUAAGCUACCACUCUUGGAGAGUGCCCACUAUGUGUCAGGUACCUUAUCUUAAAUAUUUAACCCUCACUACAAUUCUGUGAAAUAAAUAUUUUUCAUGCCUGGUCUCCAAAUUAAAAGACUGAGAAAGCUUGGAGAAGUUAGGCGAACAAGUCAAUGUCCAAUAUCUAGUAAGUUUCAGAGUCAUGUUUUAUAGUCAGAUAUGUAUGUAUUCAGAUAUAUCAACAAAAUUAGCCAAUGUAAUGGGGUUAUUGUAGGAGGUUGCAACUGGUGGUCUUAGGACACUGGGCAUUGCCCUAGACAUAAUGAAGAGAGUUGAGUUUGUAGACUCAGUUAUUGGGUACAACAAUCCUUCUUGCCCACAUCAGAAAUUGAUGGAGGUAAGGAAAGGAGCAUGUAGAGAAUCCUGUGGACAGAAAGCAUUCAUAAUCCAGCAUUGAUCUGGAAAGUAUAUCUUAUGUACCUGCUGAGCAUGUCAAGUUCUUACUCUUAGCUGCUGUCAGUAGGAUUGGCCAUCAGAUUCUGGAUUUUAUGUCAUAGUAGAAUCAAGUGUAUGUUUACUAUAAGUACUCUUAGGGCUUGUCUUACAGUAGGCAUUCAACUCAGUGCUUAUGAAUGACUAAAUAAAUGGGUGUGUUCUUUCCUGAAAUAGCAGAAAGCAGUAAUGUUCUUCUUCUAUUUAUACUCAAAAAAGGCUAUGUGCAAAGCAGGAGAGACAGCCUGGCAGUCUACACCUGUGCCAGUAAUCCCCCAACAAUCCUGUCAAGAUUAAUUUUCAGAGAGCUCUUACACAAGAAUAUUUGGUGACUUCAUGUUCUACAGUGAUCUAUUGAAUCAGAGGAAUCAAAAAUAGCCACUUUUUCCAUGGUCGUAGAGGGGUGUUACUCAUAUUACUUUUAUGAGAAAUGAGUAAGUGAGAUGGAUGCAUUGAAAUAUAUACUCUUUUCAAGUACAUAUGGAACAUUCCCCAGGAUAGAUUAUAUGCUAGGGCAUAAAACAAGUCUGAAUAAAUUUUUAAAAAAUUAUACAAAGUAUGGUCUCCAACCACAGUGGAAUGAAAUGAGAAAUCAGUAACAGAAGGAAAUUUAGAAAUUCACAAUUAUGUGGAAAUUAAGCAACACACUCUUGAGUAAUCAAUGGUCUGAAAAAUGCCAGAAAGA